GUCUACGGCCAUACCACCCUGAACGCGCCCAAUCUGGUCUGAUCUCGGAAGCUAAGCAGGUCGGGCCUGGUUAGUACUUGGAUGGGAGAAUUCUGGGAAGUAUGGAAA
ensembl:rRNA 5S_rRNA 5S ribosomal RNA